CUUCAAGAUUGCCCGGUUCCAUCGAGUACACCUUCUUUGCUUCCAGUGGCUGCUUGAAGAAUUCAGUCAUGUCAUUCCUGAAGUUGCAAAUCACCUCAUCUCUGAUACACCAUGGUUGACGAGCUGCGGUUUUUCACGCCAACAGUGAUUGGAUUAUUUUUGGAAGAUAACCUGAAGGACGCAGGGUUUGUAGGCCAGAAACGCUCCCUUGACUCAACUGGACGAACAUGAAGGAAAAAUCUGUCACACCAGUCUAGUUUCUGGUUAUCAGACACAACAAAGGCCUGUCCAUAGCCUUCAAUGCUGUUUGGUAGCCGUGAGUAAGCCUUCUUGGCUUCAAGCGGCUGCCUGAAGAACUCAGCUAUGUCAUUCAUCAGGUUCUCAGACACUUCAUCUGGAACUCCAUGGUUGGUGAGCUGCAAUUUGUUCCAUGAACGUUCAGCUACACACUUUUCAAAAUUCAGAAUAAUAUGCUGGAUAAAUGAACAAAUCGAUGGAUCGGAUGUUAUGUGCAAGAAAAUAAAUCUAUUAUCUGUACUGUGCAACCAA